CAAUGAUUAUUUUGUAGGGCCAGUGGCGCAAUGGAUAACGCGUCUGACUACGGAUCAGAAGAUUCUAGGUUCGACUCCUGGCUGGCUCGACUUUUCCUUCAAUGUUGCAGAAAUGGAAGCUAACAUAACGAACAACGUAGAAUACUCACCAACUCAUGCUAAUAAAAAGGUGUGUUUGGAGCGUGUCAGAGAAGUCGCUAGCUGAAAAGGAAUGACAUGGCGUUUCAGUGAAAGAUUGAAUUCUUUCAGUACACUGGAUAAAAUGUUCCUGAGAUACUAUACUCGGGGAAAUGUGAACACAUGCAAAGCGUGCCGACGGGCCAGUGGCGCAAUGGAUAACGCGUCUGACUACGGAUCAGAAGAUUCUAGGUUCGACUCCUGGCUGGCUCGACUUUUCGUUGGUUAAUGAUUAGCAUAGAACAGCCUGUCAAUUUAGCAAACAUAGAUACACUUCAUUGAUCCCAGGAAGUAAGCUGUUUCCAUUUAAUGAAUGAAUUAAUAUGAAAGCAUGUGUACGUGUCAGAGAAGUCGCAAGCAGAAGGGAUAAAAUGUCAUUCUGCUGUUUUGAAUCCUGGAGCAAAACUCGAGAAGCAAAAACAGACAUCCUGAAAGUCAGAACUGGGGGAAAAGGUACCUCUCCGGUGUGGGCCAGUGGCGCAAUGGAUAACGCGUCUGACUACGGAUCAGAAGAUUCUAGGUUCGACUCCUGGCUGGCUCGACUUUUGUCUUCAGUGUUCCGCUUAAUCCUUACGCAAUAUACUGUCCUAUAUUAUGCAAUGACAUUACAUAUAGUCAUAAAGAAAACAGCUGUGUUCUGUAGCGUUAGUAACCAGUGCUGUUCACUGACAGCUAACAAAAAAUACUGCGUAAAUUCAAUGCUAAAUAUAUAAAUGGUAUUUCACAACAAAUUACUUUGGGUGCAGGGUGUUAGUUAAUUCCCGAUAAUGGACGCCUCCUAAGUACUUCCAGUGAAAGUGUCUGUUAAACGUUCUAAAUUAAUGCGAUACUUGUGGAUAUUUUUUAAUUCAUCCUCACCACAAGAUGGCGACUGUAAUACCCAAGCUGCAAGUAGCCUACAUUGCCUCAUUGAAUUUAACUUUGAAGGCUAUCGUACAAGGGAUCAUCUCACUUCCCGUUGGCUAUUCAACUCGCUUCAGACGGUGAACAAAAGAGCACAUGGACUAUUAUUUGUUUGGGAAAACCUUGAGAUUCAUUUAGGGACGAUGAUAUGCGUGGAUAGCUAGGUUGUCUUGUUGUUUGUUUGUUAAUCUUACACAACGUUACUGACUUUGAAUUUAGCUAGCAUAACAUUAGCUUUAUGGCUCAGCUGAGGAGACUAAAAAUAACUUCCAAUGCCAAUUCCUCCUAUUUACUGGAGUAGUGACCCACAUUUCAGUUGCAUAGAAAGGGUUGGGAAGUGACCAUUGGUGUAAGGGGAAUAUUGCCUAUCCUGGUGUCCAUUAUGGAUGGGAUCCUCCAAGGUGGUCAUACAUCUUGGAGGGUCCCAUCCAGUCUUUUAAAUGACUACAAAAAUGGAUCCCAAAUGCCUGGGUGGCAACAUCAAGCAUUAAGACCUUAAUGUCUUGAGAAUGCUUGGCUGCCAUUAUUAACAUGCUUUGCUGCCUGUCCUUUCAAAAUGGACUCACAUAACUUUCAACUAUUUCUUUACUCACUUGAGCUAUCAAAUAAAAAGUAUAAUUUGCAAAUGACUCAACACACCUAAUAGAGUCUUCUGAUAGUGAUUUCAUUAAAACUAAAAUUACAAUCAACUCAUUGUUUAAAGCUUAAUUUCUUGAACACUGGAAUUACCCACUGCACAUGAACGCAAAAGUAGCAGUUACAGUUUUCCUGCAUUGUUCGCACACCCAAAAACACCCAAAGCAAACAUCAUAAUCCUUCAUACUGCAAGAGAUGUUACUCAUCUCACAAAGUUUCUACACUUUUAAUAGACUUUCAUCACGUUAAAAAUCUUUUCAAACCAAAAGCUAGAGUGAACAUAAACAGACAAGCAUUUUUUCCUAACACUCCUCAUAGCUUCUAAAGCCUUCAAAAUACUGUACUGAUCAUGUCGUGGUGUGUUCCCUCCCCAUUGCUACAUCCAAAUCCGUCCGAUGUCUGUUACACCCUUGGGACGGUGGUGGGCGUGAGGAUUUCUAAAGUCACACACAAAGUGCGAGGAGCUGCAGGGGAGCACAGCACUCAAGCGUGUGAGAGUCUGCCUGAAGGACAUGGCUACAACGCUGCUGACUGUGAUGCUCAUGAUCCCCUACAUCUGUGAGGGAGCACUGUUGAGAAAAUCGGCAGCGAUGGACUUCCUUCAAAGGGUAAGAGAGAAGCGUGCCUCAGAGUGUUUUCCUGGAGGCUGCAGCACAGAGGCCAGUGAGGCUGAAGAAGUGGAAGAGGCAAAUGUAAGAUAUGAGGAGAGUUCCAACCUGCUGUAUAAUGGACGUGCUACUCAGAAAGAAAUAACCAACCAGAGCCCUGAACAGGAAGCUGUGGAUGAAGGAUCUGGGAUGUAGCUGAGAGAAAGCACACAAGAUGAUAAUCUUCUUGUUGUUGGAUCAAAGUCAACUAGAAGUACAUUAUAAGUGUAAAAUAAAAAGUAUAAUCACCAAGACAAACUAUCUGGAUUUCUCAAAGGAUUUAUUCAAUGAAGAUGAUUUGCUUCAAGGAUUAAUUCUUAUUGAUAAUUUCAUUUAAGUUAAAAUAUAAGGAACGUUGAUAUCUCCAGUCGCUAUUCUUUUAUGUUUAGUACUUAAUAUACUUAUGUCGUAAGUAUCAAGCUCACAACCUGUGAUUUGUUAGUGAGCUGGCAAUAGAUCUGUAAGAAACCAGAAUUGAGAAUACCUUGUAAACAAUUUCAGUAUAGAUAUAUAAAAAAAUCUAUUAUUAAGACAUGUUUUCUAAUUUGCUCAAUACAUUAAAGAACAUGGACCUCUGUUAUAUCUAAAGCAUAUGUAUGUUAAUUGCAGGCUAAGUAUUCUCAGCAGGGAGCUUUAUGUGAACAUUUUAAUAAAUGUAUAUGA